UUUUCAGAUUACUGAGACAAUGCUUUUGAGCAACUUCUGACUACCACUGAUGUAAAGAUAUCCCAUUGUCUCUGAGAUUCUGAUCAACUGAAGCCAAAGCAUGUAUUAUGAAGUGCUUAGACAGGAUACAGUAUAUAUAUUCCUGAAAGGAAUACAAGCAAAAUGAACUAACAAAGUUGUCAGUCUUGCUGCUGGCUUGCCAAUAUCAGCCACUUGGCUUGAGGAAAAUAUCAUGGGAAAUUCUAAGGGAUCAAUCAGCCAACAGCCAAGGAUGGGAGCAAAGAACUUUUUCCAUUUGUUACAUGAAAAGACUAUAAAUUAGAGCAAGAAGCCAGCCCUGCUCCUCAGGUUGCACUGGCAACAAAGUAACCUGUUAGUGUUACAGAGGAUAACACCGAGUUGCUGAAGAUCAUAAAAUGCCCAUAAAAAAGAAGAAAGAGUAUGUAAAUAAAGCAAGUAAGAGUAACCAAGCUGUAGCCUCAAGAAAAAAGGCUUAAACUAAUCUUAAAUUUUAAUCCUAGCAAACUUGUAUUCUUAUGCCAACACAGAAUGUAGAAGAUUUAAAUAUAUACCAAAAACUUUCUCACUUUCUUCCUUUAGGAGUUGAUACCUAAAUGCACUGUUUCCCAUGCAAAUUUUAAUGGAACUCUUUAAAUUUAAAAAAUGUACUGUAGAGAUAGACAUAGACAUGGUUUUAUUGUGUAUGUAUAUAUAUACUUUUUUUUUCUACAGGGCAUUGUGUAAGUUAUGAAGUAGCAAGACUUUUUAUUUUAACAUGCCAAUGUGGAAUGCAGACUUUAAUAAUCAUUUUGAUUGUGCUUUGAGCGUAGGCUUACAGGUCACUGAAUGCGUUUCACUAACUCAUCACAAACUACAAUGUCAAAGUCACCUGCUGUUCCACCUUCACCCAAAAUAAACAGCAUGAAGAAU
rnacentral:lncRNA from 7 species